CCUGGGCAUGGCCUGCUGGCUGGCAGGAGCCCCCUUACCUAGCCUGGGCAAGGGAGACAUCAUUUUCACUUGCUGGCUUUUGAGAAAGUGACCCUGUCCUCCUGUUCCUGGUUCAUACCUGUUGGUGGAGAUGUUAGAGAGGAGUGGAGAUAAAAACUUGAUGAAGUCCGACACAGCUGGCUGGGAGUGAACCUGGAUGCUCCUAAGGACCCCCCAGGAAAGUAAGCACCUGGCAUGUGUAUCAGAAGACCCCCUAUGGCCUCACACACAGGUAGUUUGUAGCUGAAUCCAGCCUUGAGGAGAAGGAGACCCCUGCUUCCUGCCUGCCCUGAGUGGCCUGGCCAGAGCCCAGGACCUGCCCCCACAAUGUUUGGCUUCGGCCAUGGCUGCCCUGGGCUUGGCACAGCCAGCUUUUGGCAAGGCAGCCUGGGAGCCCUGGCCCCUUACCCAGCUCACUUAUGCCUUGCUACCCUGCGAGGCUUUAUCACCAAGCAGACAGGGAGAGAGAGUGGCCGGACAUCACAAUCCGGAAAGCCGGCCACUUACACUGUACUUUUAGAGAGGAUGUCUUUGGCACGGGCGGGGUCAGCACUGAUGGGCCUAGAAAUAAUGUCUGUAUUGUGGCACUGGGUUUCUGAGUGGAGCCGUCAACAAGCACAGAUUUGAGUUAGGUCCUCCUGGAGAGGAAAGCCUCGGUCCUCCAAAUGCCCCUCAUACCCUUGACCUGCCCAAGGACCUUGGGCCUCCCUGGCUGAGCAUGGCAUAGAAUGCCAGGGUUUUACAGUGUCCAGCCAGUCUCCUGGCCGGGGUAGCCUGUGAUAUCAAGAAGCAGUCCAGGUGCUUGCUAGACGAGGCUGCUUAACUCCCAGACCCACAGGGCCAAUGGACCAGACCACCAAGGCUCUGACUACCCCAACACAGUCCCCCACCCCCCACCUCCCUACUCGCUAUGUAGUGGCUGCCUGGUUCAGCAUCUCGGCUCAGCAGGGAUCCACUGUAAGCCCCCUAAGAGCUUCCUGUGCCUGUUCACAAGCUCACAGUCUUCCUCUGCCUUCCCAGAGAUCAGAAGCAGCGCGCGUCCCAGAGCGCUACCAUAAUGAUGCCGUCCAGGUCCACAGUACAACCGGCUGCCUUGGUCAUUGCCGUAAUGACAGUACAUUCCAACUUCUCAAGGUAGGACAAUCCAGGGCAUGCUCUGGGAGGCCAGGAGUGACUGG
rnacentral:lncRNA from 1 species